AUUGAACGCUGGCGGCAGGCCUAACACAUGCAAGUCGAGCGGAGCGGCGGACGGGUGAGUAAUGCCUAGGAAUCUGCCUGGUGGUGGGGGAUAACGUCCGGAAACGGGAGCUAAUACCGCAUACUAUCAGAUGAGCCUAGGUCGGAUUAGCUAGUUGGUGGGGUAAAGGCCUACCAAGGCGACGAUCCGUAACUGGCCUGAGAGGAUGAUCAGUCACACUGGAACUGAGACACGGUCCAGACUCCUACGGGAGGCAGCAGUGGGGAAUAUUGGGCAAUGGGCGAAAGCCUGAUCGAGCCAUGCCGCGUGAGUGAAGAAGGUCUUCGGAUUGUAAAGCACUUUAAGUAGGGAGGCGUUACCAACAGAAUAAGCACCGGCUAACUUCGUGCCAGCAGCCGCGGUAAUUC
rnacentral:rRNA from 1 species